rnacentral:tRNA from 1 species
GCCUAGUUAGCUUAGUUGGUAGCGCGUCUGCCUUGUAAGCGCUAGGCCGCGGGUUCGAUUCCCGCCCGUGGCU